rnacentral:rRNA from 1 species
CCUACGGGUGGCAGCAGUGGGGAAUAUUGGACAAUGGGCGAAAGCCUGAUCCAGCCACGCCGCGUGUGUGAUGAAGGCCUUCGGGUCGUAAAGCACUGUGGGGAGGGAAGAACGAGCAGUGGGCUAAUAUCCCAUUGCAGUGACGGUACCUCCUUAGCAAGCACCGGCUAACUCCGUGCCAGCAGCCGCGGUAAUACGGAGGGUGCAAACGUGCCUCAGACGUAUGGGGCGUAAAGCGCGAGUCGAGUGUGAAAGCCCUGGGCUUAACCUAGGAAGUGCGCUCGAAACUGGCAGGCUUGAGUACGGGAGAGGGUCGCGGAAUUCCCGGUGUAGAGGUGAAAUUCGUAGAUAUCGGGAGGAACACCAGUGGCGAAGGCGGCGACCUGGACCGAUACUGACGCUGAGACGCGAAAGCGUGGGUAGCAAACAGGAUUAGAUACCCGUGUAGUC